GCUGUGGCUCAGUGCCAGAGCAUCUGCUUUGUAUGCUGAAGGUGCCAGGUUCAAUCCCUGGUAUCUCCA
rnacentral:tRNA from 1 species